CCGUAUGAUAAGAGAUUUCAUUUUAUGUCGUCCAUGCUCAAUGAUGAAAUUGGUUUAACUCCGUAUUAUUUAAUCCUUCAUUCUUGGGCUAACCGUCGACGCGAGUGCACAACGAACAGACUUCAUCUACGUUUAUUACUUUUGCCAGAAAAAAAACGUGCUUCAUAUUCCAAACUGGAGUUCCAUACGAGAAUUUCAAAAACAUCACUCUGUCGUAUAAUCCCAGAUACCUGCAAGGCAAUUUACAGCGUGCUCAAGGAUGAGUACUUGAAGACACCCCGCACGCCAGCAGAAUGGACUGCAAUUGCUGUUGAAUUUGAGGAAAAAUGGAAUUUUCCCAACUGCGUCGGAGCCAUCGACGGGAAACACGUCCAGAUAAAGCCUCCUCUAAACAGCGGAAGUUACUAUUUUAAUUAUAAACAAACGCACAGUAUCGUGCUAAUGGGAGUGGCAGAUGCCAAUUAUGAAAUAAUAUAUGCAGAUGUUGGAACCAAUGGCAGGGUGUGCGACGGAGGCU
rnacentral:misc_RNA from 1 species